GAGUAAUGUCUGGGGAUCUGCCUGAUGGAGGGGGAUAACUACUGGAAACGGUAGCUAAUACCGCAUAACGUCGCAAGACCAAAGCGGGGGACCUUCGGGCCUCGCGCCAUCAGAUGAACCCAGAUGGGAUUAGCUAGUAGGUGGGGUAAUGGCUCACCUAGGCGACGAUCCCUAGCUGGUCUGAGAGGAUGACCAGCCACACUGGAACUGAGACACGGUCCAGACUCCUACGGGAGGCAGCAGUGGGGAAUAUUGCACAAUGGGGGAAAUCCUGAUGCAGCCAUGCCGCGUGUAUGAAGAAGGCCUUCCGGUUGUAAAGUACUUUCAGCGAGGGGAAGGCRGUAAGGUUAAUAACCUURCYGAUUGACGUUACUCGCAGAAGAAGCACCGGCUAACUCCGUGCCAGCAGUCGCGGUAAUACGGAGGGUGCAAGCGUUAAUCGGAAUUACUGGGCGUAAAGCGCACGCAGGCGGUUUGUUAAGUCAGAUGUGAAAUCCCCGAGCUUAACUUGGGAACUGCAUUUGAAACUGGCAAGCUAGAGUCUUGUAGAGGGGGGUAGAAUUCCAGGUGUAGCGGUGAAAUGCGUAGAGAUCUGGAGGAAUACCGGUGGCGAAGGCGGCCCCCUGGACAAAGACUGACGCUCAGGUGCGAAAGCGUGGGGAGCAAACAGGAUUAGAUACCCUGGUAGUCCACGCUGUAAACGAUGUCGAUUUGGAGGUUGUGCCCUUGAGGCGUGGCUUCCGGAGCUAACGCGUUAAAUCGACCGCCUGGGGAGUACGGCCGCAAGGUUAAAACUCAA
rnacentral:rRNA from 1 species